CGGGGUGCAGCAGGCGCGAAAACUUUGCAAUACACGAAAGUGUGACAGGGUUAUCCCGAGUGCCGACCGCUGAGGUUGGCUUUUACCCAGUCUAGAAAGCUGGGGGAAUAAGGAGAGGGCAAGUCUGGUGUCAGCCGCCGCGGUAAUACCAGCUCUCCGAGUGGUGUGGACGUUUAUUGGGCCUAAAGCAUCCGUAGCUGGCUGAACAAGUCCCCUGUUAAACCCACCGAUUUAAUCGUUGGCGUGCGGGGGAUACUGCUCGGCUAGGGGACGAGAGAGGCAGACGGUAUUCCCGGGGUAGGGGUGAAAUCCUAUAAUCCCGAGAAGACCACCAGUGGCGAAGGCUGUCUGCUAGAACGCGCCCGACGGUGAGGGAUGAAAGCUGGGGGAGCGAACCGGAUUAGAUACCCGGGUAGUCCCAGCUGUAAACGAUGCAGACUAGGUGUUUGGACGGCCACGUGCCGUUCUAGUGCCGCAGGGAAGCUGUUAAGUCUGCCGCCUGGGGAGUACGAUCGCAAGAUUGAAACUUAAAGGAAUUGGCGGGGGAGCAC
rnacentral:rRNA from 1 species